UACGACUCAUGAAUACAAAUUGUCACCCCUAAUUAUGUCAUUAGCCCAUUGAUUGAAGUUUUAUAUGCCGAGUAUUAUUUUUUGACCAAAUUAAUUUCUCUUUUAUAUUUGUUUGUUGCCUCUCUGUUUUUUUUUUUUUUUUUUUUUUUUUCAGUUAAGAAAACUUGCAAUCAAAAUAGAUGUGACACGGUAAGAGUUUGAAUCAUCAAAAUUAUACACGUGUCAAAUUUGGGCACAAACUCGCAACCUCUGUGAUGAUUCUUUUUUCCAAUAUUUAUGAGUACCAUGGUUGGCAUGCCUGAUUGACCGGGACUAAACAAAGACUUACCUCCAAAGAGCCAAUUGCUAAAUUCUAUUUGGCGGGAUAAGUCUCUUAACAUUUUACUUUUUGUGGCAUCCCUUUUUCAAGUCACUUUUUGGUCCGUCCACCCAUUUCAUUCAUCUCUCCGAACAAAUUGGUUGCUGGAUAGUUGGGUCCUGGAUCUUGUCUUGCUUACCUACAUUCCAUUCUCCACGGUUUCUUCUUCUUCUUCUUCUUCUUCUUCUAUUUUUUUAAUUUUAUUUUUGGGAUUGUGUAUUUUUUUAUUUGUAUUUUUUUAAAGUUAGUAUUAAAUCAAGAUAAAAUCUUGGUGGUGUGAAUUGGUGUCUCUGGUUAGAUAUAUGAAGGUAUAGUGAUGGAUGAUGAGGAUGGUUUCUGUGGGGUCGAUCCUAUACCCAUUCAAUCACAGGGCAUAUGGUCAAAAAGUAAUGCCAAAGGCUUUCUAUAUCAUGAUUUGGUGCGACUUCAAAUACAACUAGCUCUAAUGUUCACCUUUUCUCAAUCUGUACAUAAAUUGCUCAAGCACUGCCAUUUUGCCCGCCUCGUCUCUGAGACCUUGGCUGGUAUAGUACUAGGACCAACUGUUUUAGGUUUGGUCCUCCCAAGUGUUGAAGAGAUAUUGUUCCCUGAAGAAGGAUGUAUUUUUGUUGAAAUGUUAACGAAACUCGGGUACAUGUUCUUUAUGUUCCUGAUGGGAGUGAAGAUGGAUCCAAGCAUGGUUUUGAAAGUUGGGAUAAAGGCCUGGGCUAUAGCCACUUUUUCGAUUGUAGUCCCCCUAGGAUACGCCACGUUUGUCUCUCAAACAUUGCUUCCGGGCAAGGUACGUAACAAGAGCAAGCACCCAACCACUAGAUUUGUGAUAGUAACAGAAACCAUAAGCUCAUUUCCUGUCAUUGCCUGCCUCCUCAUUGACCUCAAAAUCGUGAACUCUGAGCUGGGGCGUAUUGCUUUGGCAUCAGCAUUGAUUAGAGAUAUACUGAACACAACUUUCGUAUUUCUUACAAACUACCUUUAUUGGAUUGCCUCGGUAGCAAAUUGGCUUGUGGCUUGGCUAACACUGUUUUUCUCUCUCGCUUUUAUUUCCACCAUUGUGUUCGGCCUUUAUCCAUUGUUUUUGUGGAUUAUCAGACAGACUCCAGAAGCGAAACCGGUGAAGUCAGUGUACAUCAGUCUCAUUUGCUUUGCGGUUCUUGGCUCGGCCAUUGCCAGUGACAAUUUGGGAAUGAUGUACCCGUUUGGUCCUUUUGUACUCGGCUUGACUGUGCCGGCAGGGCCACCUUUAGGAUCAACACUGGAGAAAAGGUUGGGUACAUUCACAAUGGGGUUGCUUACCCCGUUACUACUAACCUACAUCGGAAUGAAAAUAAACUUGACUGAAAUGCAUAGUAUGAGAUCCAUUGUUGCAAUACUGCUAGCCUACGUCAUUGGUUUCACAAUAAAAGUCAUAGCAGUUUUUCUUCCAGCAUUGUUAUGCAAAAUGUCUGUCAAAGAUGCUAUCGCUCUAGCCCUCAUCAUGAGUACCCAAGGCAUCGUGGAGUUGGCUGGAUAUGUCACUUUUGUGCAAACCGAGACAUUAAGUGAAGAAACCUAUGCCUUGGUGGCCUUGUCUGUAUUAUUAACAGCAGUGGUCGUACCCUUUCUUGUGAGAUCUGUCUACGACUAUUCAAGGACAUAUAUUGGCUACCAGAAAAGGAACAUUUUACACUCCACAGACAACGAAGAGCUCCGAAUAGUUGCCUGCGCCCAUAAACAGGACGAUGCCAUGGGCAUCAUAAAGGUUCUAGAAGCUUCUAAUCCUACCAAACAUAGUCCCAUUGCAGUAUUUGCUCUCCACCUGGUGGAGCUUCUUGGCGGAACCUCCCCGGUCUUGAUUAACCACCAGUUACGCCAAAAGACUACUUCUUUAUCGAGCUCUCGUUCCCAAACUAUUAUUGACAUCUUCAAUAAGUACGAGCAGCACAACUCGGGUUUGGUCAAUUUGCAAGCCUUCACUGCAAUCUCAAUGCCCAAGUUCAUGCAUGAUGACAUUUGCUUGCUCGCCUUCGACAAGUUGGCUUCCUUGAUAAUACUUCCAUUCCAUAAGAAAUGGAGUUCCCAAGGGAGAGUGAUUUUUAACAACAACGUCUUGAAGAACAUAAACAGUAAAGUAAUGGACAUGGCCCCUUGCUCGGUGGGCGUCCUUGUAGACAGGGGCAAAGUAAACCGUGCAGCAACAAAAUCAUUGUCUUCAAUGUAUCGCGUGGCUAUGAUCUUCCUGGGAGGUGAUGAUGAUCGCGAGGCACUAGCUUACGCCAAACGCAUGGCGAACUCCCCAUGGGUUCACUUGACAAUUUUCCGGAUAUCCCAGUUGGAGAACAACACUCGUGAGGCAAAUUGGGAAUCCAUUCUUGACACAGAGACUUUGAAGGACGCAAGACACAAGUGUUCAACCAAUGGUAACGUAGUGUACAGGGAGGAAAAGGUGAAAGAUGGACCAGAAACGGCUUUUUUGCUUCAUUCAGUUGGGGAAGAUUAUGACCUUAUCAUGGUGGGGCGUCGCCACAAAUCGCACACGAAUCUACUGUCAGGCCUAAUAGAAUGGGCUGAGUUGCCAGAGCUAGGGGAAAUCGGAGAUCUACUCGCUUCCUCAGAAAUUCGUAGACCAGUUUCAGUCUUGGUGGUGCAACAACAGCUCAUGCAAAAGAAGUCGAAGUAGUCAUUCCCUCCUUGGAACUUGGAAGUGCUAGUUUAGAUGCUAAAAUCUAAAGGAUCCACUGCAACAAAAAGCUUUGACAGUCUUGAGGCAAUGUAAUCACGAAACCGAAGGGACAACUGGAUCAAGCUCGCCAUGUAUCAGAGAUGAACAUCCCAACUUGUGGAUUCAAAGACAGCGACUUAUUUUAGUAGCUGGCAUCCAUUGUUAUACACUGCAAAAUGGCUGCGUGGCUAAGCAAACGAAGAACAGAGAAAGAAAGAGAAGAGUGAUUACAUCCUUUCACAAUUUUGAUUCGAAAAUUGUCUUGUCUUUUAUUUUCUGUAAUUGCAUUGAGAAGUAUAAACGACCACCCAUUUUUCCAAUGGAGUAAUUAUUGCGAAAUGUAUCAGCUAUGUACUGUGCAUGUGAAUCAACACUGCGAAAAAAGAUAUUCUAAUCUCAUUUCGUCGUCGUCAUCAUC